UACGGAGGGUGCAAGCGUUGUCCGGAUUCACUGGGCUUAAAGGGUGCGUAGGUGGGGUGGUAAGUCAGUGGUGAAAUCUCCGGGCUUAACCCGGAAACUGCCAUUGAUACUAUCUGUCUUGAAUACCGUAGAGGUGAGCGGAAUAUGUCAUGUAGCGGUGAAAUGCUUAGAUAUGACAUAGAACACCAAUUGCGAAGGCAGCUCACUACACGAAUAUUGACACUGAGGCACGAAAGCGUGGGGAUCAAACAGG
rnacentral:rRNA from 1 species